rnacentral:rRNA from 1 species
GAAACCCGGUGAUCUAGCCAUGGGCAGGUUGAAGGUUGGGUAACACUAACUGGAGGACCGAACCGACUAAUGUUGAAAAAUUAGCGGAUGACUUGUGGCUGGGGGUGAAAGGCCAAUCAAACCGGGAGAUAGCUGGUUCUCCCCGAAAGCUAUUUAGGUAGCGCCUCGUGAAUUCAUCUCCGGGGGUAGAGCACUGUUUCGGCAAGGGGGUCAUCCCGACUUACCAACCCGAUGCAAACUGCGAAUACCGGAGAAUGUUAUCACGGGAGACACACGGCGGGUGCUAACGUCCGUCGUGAAGAGGGAAACAACCCAGACCGCCAGCUAAGGUCCCAAAGUCAUGGUUAAGUGGGAAACGAUGUGGGAAGGCCCAGACAGCCAGGAUGUUGGCUUAGAAGCAGCCAUCAUUUAAAGAAAGCGUAAUAGCUCACUGGUCGAGUCGGCCUGCGCGGAAGAUGUAACGGGGCUAAACCAUGCACCGAAGCUGCGGCAGCGACACUAUGUGUUGUUGGGUAGGGGAGCGUUCUGUAAGCCUGUGAAGGUGGCCUGUGAGGGUUGCUGGAGGUAUCAGAAGUGCGAAUGCUGACAUAAGUAACGAUAAAGCGGGUGAAAAGCCCGCUCGCCGGAAGACCAAGGGUUCCUGUCCAACGUUAAUCGGGGCAGGGUGAGUCGACCCCUAAGGCGAGGCCGAAAGGCGUAGUCGAUGGGAAACAGGUUAAUAUUCCUGUACUUGGUGUUACUGCGAAGGGGGGACGGAGAAGGCUAUGUUGGCCGGGCGACGGUUGUCCCGGUUUAAGCGUGUAGGCUGGUUUUCCAGGCAAAUCCGGAAAACCAAGGCUGAGGCGUGAUGACGAGGCACUACGGUGCUGAAGUGACAAAUGCCCUGCUUCCAGGAAAAGCCUCUAAGCAUCAGGUAACAUCAAAUCGUACCCCAAACCGACACAGGUGGUCAGGUAGAGAAUACCAAGGCGCUUGAGAGAACUCGGGUGAAGGAACUAGGCAAAAUGGUGCCGUAACUUCGGGAGAAGGCACGCUGAUAUGUAGGUGAAGCGACUUGCUCGUGGAGCUGAAAUCAGUCGAAGAUACCAGCUGGCUGCAACUGUUUAUUAAAAACACAGCACUGUGCAAACACGAAAGUGGACGUAUACGGUGUGACGCCUGCCCGGUGCCGGAAGGUUAAUUGAUGGGGUUAGCGGUAACGCGAAGCUCUUGAUCGAAGCCCCGGUAAACGGCGGCCGUAACUAUAACGGUCCUAAGGUAGCGAAAUUCCUUGUCGGGUAAGUUCCGACCUGCACGAAUGGCGUAAUGAUGGCCAGGCUGUCUCCACCCGAGACUCAGUGAAAUUGAACUCGCUGUGAAGAUGCAGUGUACCCGCGGCAAGACGGAAAGACCCCGUGAACCUUUACUAUAGCUUGACACUGAACAUUGAGCCUUGAUGUGUAGGAUAGGUGGGAGGCUUUGAAGUGUGGACGCCAGUCUGCAUGGAGCCGACCUUGAAAUACCACCCUUUAAUGUUUGAUGUUCUAACGUUGGCCCGUAAUCCGGGUUGCGGACAGUGUCUGGUGGGUAGUUUGACUGGGGCGGUCUCCUCCUAAAGAGUAACGGAGGAGCACGAAGGUUGGCUAAUCCUGGUCGGACAUCAGGAGGUUAGUGCAAUGGCAUAAGCCAGCUUGACUGCGAGCGUGACGGCGCGAGCAGGUGCGAAAGCAGGUCAUAGUGAUCCGGUGGUUCUGAAUGGAAGGGCCAUCGCUCAACGGAUAAAAGGUACUCCGGGGAUAACAGGCUGAUACCGCCCAAGAGUUCAUAUCGACGGCGGUGUUUGGCACCUCGAUGUCGGCUCAUCACAUCCUGGGGCUGAAGUAGGUCCCAAGGGUAUGGCUGUUCGCCAUUUAAAGUGGUACGCGAGCUGGGUUUAGAACGUCGUGAGACAGUUCGGUCCCUAUCUGCCGUGGGCGCUGGAGAACUGAGGGGGGCUGCUCCUAGUACGAGAGGACCGGAGUGGACGCAUCACUGGUGUUCGGGUUGUCAUGCCAAUGGCACUGCCCGGUAGCUAAAUGCGGAAGAGAUAAGUGCUGAAAGCAUCUAAGCACGAAACUUGCCCCGAGAUGAGUUCUCCCUGAGACUUAGAGUCUCCUGAAGGAACGUUGAAGACGACGACGUUGAUAGGCCGGGUGUGUAAGCGCAGCGAUGCGUUGAGCUAACCGGUACUAAUGAACCGUGAGGCUUAACCUU